AAGAAAGUGGCAGAGUGGUUUUGUGUUUGGCUUGAAACCAGAUCACGGGGGUUCAAUUCCCUCCUUUCUCG
rnacentral:tRNA from 1 species